rnacentral:rRNA from 1 species
CCUACGGGGGGCAGCAGUGAGGAAUAUUGGUCAAUGGACGCAAGUCUGAACCAGCCAAGUAGCGUGCAGGAUGACGGCCCUCCGGGUUGUAAACUGCUUUUAUAUGGGACUAAAAGGGGGCUCGUGAGCCCCGUAUUGUAUGUACCAUCAGAAAAAGGACCGGCUAAUUCCGUGCCAGCAGCCGCGGUUAUACGGAAGGUCCGGGCGUUAUCCGGAUUUAUGGGGUUUAAAGGGAGCGUAGGCCGGCUUUUAAGUCAGUUGUGAAAGUCCGCGGCUCAACCGUGGAAUUGCAGUUGAAACUGGAGGCCUUGAGUGCACACAGGGAUGCCGGAAUUCAUGGUGUAGCGGUGAAAUGCUUAGAUAUCAUGAAGAACUCCGAUCGCGAAGGCAAGUGACCGAGGUGCAACUGACGCUGAGGCUCGAAAGUGCGGGUAUCAAACAGGAUUAGAUACCCGGGUAGUC